CUUCCUUGUAAAAACUGGCACUGAUGGCUGCAGCUUGCUGCUUCUUUUUUUUUUUUUUUUCCCGGAGCUGGGGACUGAACCCAGGGCCUUGCGCUUGCUAGGCAAGUGCUCUACCACUGAGCUAAAUCCCCAACCCCUGCAGCUUGCUUCUUUAAGUGAGUGAUCACGAGGCACCAGGAGUAGCUGCAGAUGAUCCCGGUGCACAGAAGAGCAUAGGGAACAUCUGCACAGAGGUUCUAAUGAUAACAUACGCAAAUGCUUACAACUGUUCCUGCUGGUCAUGAAAAGGGAGUGACGUGGGAUAGAAAUAUAUUGGCUGAUGUAUUUCAUGACUACUUCUGGAGAGGUACACAAACAGCUGUCAGUAGUGGGCUCUGGGGGUGGGGGAACCUAGAUGGUAAGAAGACAAAUCAGUUUAUGCCAUGAGACAGAAACCAGUGCUUCACCCUUUGUACCUCAUGCAUUGCAGCUCCCUGAGUUAAAUUAAAAUAGUGUCUGUGCAUUUAUUAUUGGUAAAACACUCAGAACCAUUUCCUUGUUGCUUGAUCGAAAGUUCUGAAGAAAUGUCAAUGUCAACUUUCUUUCUGAAUUCAGGCUCUCCGGCUGAACUGUCUCCUACCACUCUCUCCCCUGUCAAUCACAGCUUGGAUUUGCAGCCAGUUACUUAUUCAGAACCUGCAUUUUGGUGUUCAAUCGCAUAUUAUGAACUAAACCAGAGGGUUGGAGAGACCUUCCAUGCGUCACAGCCCUCACUCACUGUAGACG
rnacentral:lncRNA from 1 species